rnacentral:sRNA from 1 species
GCACAAGGUUUUGGAUUUUCAGCGAUUCUAAUGCUUACGAAUAAUUGCCCUAUAACCAAGGCACAAUCCGGCUUCUAACUUAAAAUCUAAUAUGGGCUUUCUCAUAACAAAUUCAUCAGAUGAAUUACUUUUACCAAACUCUUAACAUGUUGACGAUAUGUUUAUUAGUUCUAAUUUCAGAUAAAUGAUUAGUUCACUUGCUGGUACCUUGCUUGCAUCUACAUUGAUAUUUUUCCGGGCUCUUGUUUAAUUUGUCUAGGACGCCAUUAUUGCACAACGGUUUUUGAACGGGGAUUGCAGUAAAGUUGCGGUGUUAUGCCGUUUGACAUUUUACGUAAUUGCGCCAAGGCGACCCCACUUUAUCUAUAUCCACGUCCACUUUCGCUUUCACCUGAGCCGGGCUUUUAUCAAAAAUGCUUGAGCGCAUCUUCAACUUGCCGAAGGCACAAGCUUCGAUGUACAUGAUGCUGACACAGCACUGAGCUAACCAGUUUUUAACAAUUUGAAAUUUACCGAAAGUCCAGUCAAAUAAUGUAAUUUAACAUUUUCCUACUAAACAUUUUGUAGCCUUUCGAGUACAUUAGAUGGUCAACGCGUUAUUGAACUUCAACAACCUCUUUGGGUUGCACAACCACCAGCUGUGAAAGAGACUUCCGUUGACCUCCUCUUAUGCAAGAUGCCAUCGAUGAUCGCGCUUGUUUUAGCCGUUUUUGCGAAUGGUUUUCAGAUUUAACCAAAUUUAAAUGAACUAUGUUCAUGUUCAUGUUACGAUUGAUCAAUCUGCAUUUCCUUCCUAUCAAGGACGUCGAUUUUUCUAACUGAUUAAACAUGCUUAGAAAGCGGCCUAGCGAGCUUGGAAAAAUGGGUCAGGUUUAAUGUGCUUACAGUUAAAUAACUGGUAGAAAGAAAACGGGUUUGCAUGGCCUAUUUCAUGCAUACUUGGACAGGCCUUUCUGGAACAAAAAAACAGAGAAACCUGCGCAAGAGUGGCCUUCCCGACUCAUGACUGUUCAAACAAUUUGGAAUCUGCAUCUCUAAACGUCUUUAGAGACUGUCUUGCCUCACAAGGAUA